rnacentral:rRNA from 1 species
AUUGAACGCUGGCGGCAGGCCUAACACAUGCAAGUCGAACGAGUGGCGGACGGGUGUGUAAUGUGUGGGAAACUGCCUGAGGGAGGGGGAUAACCAGUGGAAACGGUAGCUAAUCCCGCAUACCAUCAGAUGUGCCCAGGGGGGAGUGGCUAGUUGGUGGGGUAACGGCUCACCAAGGCGACGAUCCCUAGCUGGUCUGAGAGGAUGAACCGCAACACUGGAACUGAGACACGGUCCAGACUCCUACGGGAGGCAGCAGUGGGGAAUAUUGCACAAUGGGCGCAAGCCUGAUGCAGCCAUGCCGCGUGUAUGAAGAAGGCCUUCGGGUUGUAAAGUACUUUCAGCGGGGAGGCGUUACCCGCAGAAGAAGCACCGGCUAACUCCGUGCCAGCAGCCGCGGUAAUUC